rnacentral:rRNA from 1 species
UACGAAGGGUGCAAACGUUGCUCGGAAUUAUUGGGCGUAAAGCGCACGUAGGCGGCCUUGUAAGUCGGAUGUGAAAUCCCUCGGCUUAACCGAGGACGUGCAUCCGAAACUGUGAGGCUCGAGUAUGGAAGAGGGUCGCAGAAUUCCCGGUGUAGAGGUGAAAUUCGUAGAUAUCGAGAGGAACACCGAUGGCGAAGGCAAUCCCCUGGACCUGUACUGACGCUCAUGCACGAAAGCGUGGGGAGCAAACAGG